GAACCAAAAGCGGUCAUUUUAUUACUAAACAGGACGUUCGUAACAAGAUACAAAGUUGCUUGUUGUUUUGCUAUUUAUAUCCGAUCAUUUUAAAACGCUAUUGUUCACUCUUUUGGCCUGUAGUGUAUUCAUUUAUCAUCAGAUAAUGGAAUGGUAGUAAUGCUAACUAGUAUGUGAGUAACAACUUUCCUUUACUGGAAUUCGUUUACGGAAUGCUGAAAACGAAGGUUGAAAUCUACAAUGACGAAGCAAGCUUAUUUAUUUAUUUACUCAUGCAAUGUAAUCAUUUCCGUGCUCACUCAUUGUAGAAUCAACACAUUUCUCGAGAAAUAAUUAUUCAUUAUGAUCUGAACACUGCAGAAUUUGCUGGCUGGUUAUACCACUGGAAAUCCAUUGAUCAGGAAAGAACUUCUCAAAAAGUCAUAAGCUAUAUAAUCCCAUUGAGACAACUUUGAUAAGCUUACAGUAAUGGAGUUGUAUUAUGGUAAUCAUACGAACGAAUCCAACAUUUUCCCCUUGUAUCAAAUGCAGAAAAUAAACGCCGAAAUCUGUUGAUCAAGAAAAGAAGUUGCAAAUGAAAUGGUCGUAUGUCAACGGUGCAUGAUUAUAUAAUGAAUGCGAUUCUUCAAAUUCAAAGUUGCUAUUUUGGCAUUCAGUUCUCAAGUGAGGAUUAUGUUGCAAGUGUCUUGUGUUAUGUAGUUUUAGUAUGUUGGAUUAGAUUUUAGUGGCUACUUGUUGCAGUAGCAUGUUAAACUUUGUUUAUUAAAUUCUAUUACGUUUUUAUUAUGAUAGGGUGGUCUCUGUAAGGGUGCUCUAUUAAACAUUGAUCACAAUUUCUUCAGCUUAAUUGUUUAGUAUACCAAUAUUUAUAGAGAAAUUAGCAUUUCUUCUGCACCCCCAUCUAGCUUAAGCUAGAAGGGCUGCACACCCCAUGUUUUUAGCCUUGUAACCAUUAAGAAAAUAUAAUAUUUAUUAUAUUGCUGUUA